AUGGCGGCCGAGGAGCCGGCGGAGGAGCCGCCCGAGGAGCUGGCGCACGCCGAGGUGCUGGAGCUGUUCCAGGCGGCGCUGGCGCGGCUGGUGCAGGACCCGCUGCUCUGCGACCUCCCCCCGCAGGUGACGGCGGAGGAGAUCGGCUCGCAGGUGGCCCUGGAGUACGGGCAGGCCAUGACGGUGCGGGUGUGCAAGGCGGACGGCGAGACCGUGCCCGUGGUGGUGGUGCAGAACGCCUCGGUGCUGGAGCUGAAGAAGGCCCUGCGGCGGCACAUGCAGCUGAGGCAGGCCCGGCAGGGCGGUGUGCAGCACCUGAGCUGGAAGUACAUAUGGAGGACGUACCACCUCACCUACAACGGGGAGAAGCUGGCGGAUGACAGGAAGAAGCUGAGAGAGUAUGGCAUCAGGAACCGGGAUGAGGUCAGCUUCAUCAAGAAGCUUCGGAAGUAACCUGUGGGUUACCUUUUAUUCUGCUUUCAACACUGCCAUAUUUUCAAGAUCCAGGUGUAAUAAAAUGUGUGCCCUAACAACAGCCACCUGCUCCAGGGUGCCUGUGACCAGCAGUCACCUCUGGUACUGGCUGAUCCCUCCUGGACCAUCAUGGCAGUGUGAGAGAGCAGAAAACCCAGCACUACCAAGACCAGACUGUGGAUUCAGCACUUUCCUGGAAGAAAAGGUUGUUACACUUCAGAGAGGAACAAACUCCAUUGACUGGACAUUCUUACAUUUUUUACAGUUGCUGUUUGUGGUGUUUUCCUCUGAGCUGUGUAUGGAUUUCAGGGAUUAAAGAGACCCUGUAGUUUUC